rnacentral:misc_RNA from 1 species
UGUAUAUCACGUUGGAAGCUCAAAAACCCUUCAACUGAAAUAACCACCAAAUGUCCUCUUACACUGUACAACCCCUCUCUUCAAUCUCUCUCCCCUUCUAUCCACACUCCCUUUCUGCUGUCCAAACCCACCAGCAGUCCACAAAACCAGUUUACAAACACUCUCUUCAACCCAUAGUCUCCACUUCUCCUCCAAAACCCAUUACCCAGUCCUUCUCUCAGGCCUCAUGGGUCGAGUCCCUUCGCUUUUGCACCCGCUCCAAUUUAUUCCUGGAAGCUGUUUCUAUGUACAUUGAAAUGAUUCUUUCGGGUGUUUCACCUGACUACUCUGCCUUCCCUAUUGUUUUGAAGGCCGUGACUGGCCUUCAGGAUUUGAAUUUGGGAAAACAGAUUCAUGCGCAUGUUAUUAAAUAUGGAUAUGGGUCAUCUUCCGUGACCAUAGCUAAUACGCUUGUAAAUUUCUAUGGUAGGUGUGCAGAAUUGCACGAUGUGUAUAAGAUGUUUGAUAGAAUUACUGAAAGAGACCUAGUUUCUUGGAAUUCACUAAUUUCUGCACUCUGUCGUUCUGAAGAGUGGGAGUGUGCACUGGAGGUAUUUAGAUUCAUGUUGGCUGAGAAUCUGGAGCCAAGUUCAUUUACUUUGGUAAGUCUGGCACUCGCUUGCUCUAAGUUGCACAAGCGUGAGGGCUUGCGGCUUGGGAAGCAAGUUCAUGGAUAUAGUUUUAGAAAAGGUCAUUGGAGAACGUUUACCAACAAUUCUUUGAUGACAAUGUAUGCAAAUCUAGGAAGAUUAGAUGAUGCAAAAAGUUUGUUUGACUUGUUUGAGGGUCGUGAUUUGGUUUCUUGGAAUACCAUCAUAAGUUCAUUUUCUCAAAAUGAUAGAUUUAUGGAAGCACUGGUUUUCUUGAGGCUAAUGGUUCUUGAAGGAAUUAAGCCUGAUGGGUUCACACUUGCAAGUGUUCUUCCUGCUUGCUCCUACUUGGAGAUGCUUGUUAGUGGGAAGGAAAUUCAUGCUUAUGCCUUGAGAAAUGGCAAUUUGAUUGAGAAUUCUUUUGUGGGUAGUGCUUUAGUUGACAUGUAUUGCAACUGUGGGGAGGUUGAAAGCGGUCGUCAAGUGUUUGAUGGUAUCUUGGAAAAAAAAAUUGGGAUCUGGAAUGCUAUGAUUGCUGGUUAUGCACAAAAUGAGCAUGAUGAGAAGGCAGUGAUGCUUUUCCUAGAAAUGGAAGCUUUUGCUGGACUUUGUCCCAAUGCAACUACAAUGGCGAGUGUUGUGCCCGCUUGUGUACGCUGUGAAGCAUUUUCUAAAAAAGAAGGCAUACAUGGGCUUGUGAUAAAGAGGGGUUUGGAAAGAGAUAGAUAUGUGCAAAAUGCACUCAUGGAUAUGUACUCCAGGAUGGGGAACAUGGAGAUUUCAAAGACCAUAUUUAAGAGCAUGGAAUUUAGAGAUAUAGUUUCUUGGAACACAAUGAUCACUGGUUAUGUUAGUUCUGGAUGCUAUGAUGAUGCUCUUCUGCUGCUACGUGAGAUGCAACAAGCAGAUGAAGGAAACAACAUACAUGAUGAUAAGAAACAAGUCCAUUUUAAACCUAAUUCGAUAACCCUUAUGACUGUCCUUCCUGGUUGCGCCUCCCUAUCAGCGUUGGGAAAGGGGAAAGAGAUACAUGCAUAUGCCAUUAGAAAUUCAUUAGCAUCAGAAGUCACUGUAGGAAGCGCAUUAGUUGACAUGUAUGCAAAGUGUGGCUGCUUAAACUUAUCUAGGAGAGUAUUCGAUCAAAUGCCUGUUAGAAAUGUUAUUACUUGGAAUGUAAUUAUCAUGGCUUAUGGGAUGCAUGGAAAUGGGAAGGAGGCCUUAGAACUGUUCAAAGAUAUGGUGGCUGAGGGAAACAGUAGUGGAGAAGUAAAGCCUACUGAUGUUACUUUCAUAGCAAUUUUUGCUGCUUGUAGCCACUCAAGGAUGGUCGAUGAGGGCCUGCAUCUGUUCCAUAGAAUGAAAAAUGACCAUGGGAUUGAUCCUGGCCCAGAUCACUAUGCUUGUGUUGUGGAUUUACUUGGUAGAGCAGGCCAAGUGGAGCAAGCAUAUGAACUCAUCAACAUCAUGCCUUCUGGUUUUGACAAGGUAGGGGCCUGGAGUAGCUUGCUUGGAGCAUGUCGGAACCACCAAAAUAUAAAAAUAGGGGAAAUUGUUGCUCAAAACCUCCUACAGUUACAACCAAAUGUGGCCAGCCACUACGUUUUGCUGUCUAAUAUGUACUCAUCUGUCAGACUUUGGGACAAGGCAAUGGAUGUUAGAAGGAAGAUGAGCGAAAUGGGAGUAAAGAAAGAACCCGGCUAUAGUUGGAUUGAGUAUGGUGAUGAGAUACAUAAAUUUUUAGCUGGGGAUUUAUCACACCCACAGAGUGAAAGACUCCAUGAUUUUCUGGAGACCCUGUCGGAAAGGAUGAAAAAGGAGGGGUAUGUGCCUGAUACUUCUUGUGUACUUCACAAUGUUGAUGAGGAGGAGAAAGAAACUUUACUUUGUGGACACAGUGAGAAAUUGGCAAUAGCUUUUGGCAUACUAAACACUCCUCCUGGAACUACUAUUAGAGUUGCCAAGAAUCUUCGGGUGUGUAAUGACUGCCAUGCUGCGACUAAGUUUAUCUCCAAGUUGGUGGAUAGGGAGAUCGUCCUUAGAGAUGUCAGGAGGUUCCAUCACUUCAAGAAUGGUACCUGUUCUUGUGGGGAUUAUUGGUGAAAAUCAGCUUUUUCAUUAGGAAUCAGCUUUUUAUUUGAGGUUCCUCAUGCUGAUAUUUGUUGUGUACGUAAAAUUUAUUGUAUUUCUACAAUGAUUUUAGGUACAAGGUGUAAAGAGAAAUUAUACAACAAUCAAAAGUUGUAGUGUUCAAUUCUUGCUCAACACUUUCAUUCUCAGAUCUUGC